rnacentral:rRNA from 1 species
UACGUAGGGCGCAAGCGUUGUCCGGAAUUAUUGGGCGUAAAGAGCUCGUAGGCGGCUUGUCACGUCGAUUGUGAAAGCCCGAGGCUUAACCUCGGGUCUGCAGUCGAUACGGGCUAGCUAGAGUGUGGUAGGGGAGAUCGGAAUUCCUGGUGUAGCGGUGAAAUGCGCAGAUAUCAGGAGGAACACCGAUGGCGAAGGCAGCUCGCUGGGACGGUACUGACGCUGAGGCGCGAAAGCGUGGGGAGCGAACAGG